AAACGUAGGACGCGAACGUUAUCCGGAGUUACUGGGCGUAAAGCGCGUGCAGGCGGUGAUGUAAGUUACCUAUGAAGGCUCUCGGCUAAACUGAGAGAGGCUAGGUGAAACUGCAUGACUAGAGUGAGAUAGAGGUGAGUAGAAUUCCAGGUGUAGUGGUGAAAUGCGUAGAUAUCUGGAGGAAUACCAGUGGCGAAGGCGGCUCACUGGCUCUCAACUGACGCUGAGACGCGAAAGCGUGGGUAGCGAACGGGAUUAGAAACCCUAGUAGUCC
rnacentral:rRNA from 1 species